rnacentral:lncRNA from 1 species
ACUCGUUUCCUGAUUGGUUGAAGGUUCAGGCUCCUGGAACAACUGAGCCGAACUCUUGUUCGAGGUCUGGAAAGAUUCAGUUGCUAUAGCUCACCUCUCCUGUUCUCAAACUUAAAGUUACUCGACAUCUUGAGUGACGAGCAGCAGCAUCUUACAUCUAUAGACUCCGGAGUUUCAUCACGAUUCUACAUAUAGACGCCCUCUAGGGUAACCGCCUCAUCGCAUCUUGGCGAGGGAUCAACUUGUCUGGAUAUCAAAGGAAAACUACGAACACCUACAGUUUCUGUCUUAAAUAUAACAGUGAAUGAAGAAAUCAACAUGGCCGUCAUCAGCCCACCUGAGACCGUAUUUCGGCUCUGAGGAGAUUUCUAGCGCUUAGAAGUUAUCCAGUCUUGUUCCAAACUGAAGAACAAAAUGGCACGAAUAGAUCGGUUGCAAUUUCACCCCUAAUAAAAGCCCUGAUGCUGAAAAUUGAGCGCGUAAAACUGUCCGUUUUACUACUUGUACAAGUCUCGUUAUACAUGUGUCUCAAUAUAUUAGUUUGUAACAUUAUAUGGGGCAUAUACAUACCUCUAGACAUGGGUACCUAUGUGAAUUUUUAAUAAAAA